CCUACGGGAGGCAGCAGUGGGGAAUAUUGGACAAUGGGCGAAAGCCUGAUCCAGCAAUGCCGCGUGAGUGAUGAAGGCCUUAGGGUCGUAAAGCUCUUUUACCAGGGAUGAUAAUGACAGUACCUGGAGAAUAAGCUCCGGCUAACUCCGUGCCAGCAGCCGCGGUAAUACGGAGGGAGCUAGCGUUGUUCGGAAUUACUGGGCGUAAAGCGUACGUAGGCGGUUAUUCAAGUCAGAGGUGAAAGCCCGGGGCUCAACCCCGGAACGGCCUUUGAAACUAGAUAGCUAGAGUCUUGGAGAGGUCAGUGGAAUUCCGAGUGUAGAGGUGAAAUUCGUAGAUAUUCGGAAGAACACCAGUGGCGAAGGCGACUGACUGGACAAGUACUGACGCUGAGGUACGAAAGCGUGGGGAGCAAACAGGAUUAGAUACCCUGGUAGUCCACGCCGUAAACGAUGAUAACUAGCUGUCCGGGUACUUGGUAUCUGGGUGGCGCAGCUACGCAUUAAGUUAUUACCGUCCGUCGGGUAGGUACGGUCGUCGAGAAUAAACUACAAUAGAAGUAGUACGGACGUGAGACGUAGACCGAACGGACGACGACGAGGGAGUAGG
rnacentral:rRNA from 1 species